UUCCGGAGUAGCUCAGCGGUAGAGCAGUGGACUGUUAAUCCAUUGGUCGUUGGUUCGAACCCAUCCUCCGGAGUC
rnacentral:tRNA from 36 species